GCGACUGGCGGCCAGCAAACAAACAAUAAUCCCAGCUAGCUAUGGCGAUUCCCUCCGAGUUCCAAUGGAGGCAGCUACCAGCCGGUUGAGACGCACACAAAGACACGAUCGAGCGUCUCAGCUGUUGUGUGAGUGUGUGUGAGCGUGCUGUCAUCUCAUCUGCCAAAUAAGAAAGCACUAGCUCAGUAAAGCAAUGCUAAAUAUAUAUGUACAUAUACUCUGCCAGCUCAGCUCGUCAGCCUGAUCAGGUUGAGUGUGAGAACGUAACUCCCUAGACACUCAGAGAAAAUUAGUGAUCCAUUUUCAGUGGUUCCUCGCCUAUUUAAGUGCGAGCCUGCAGCAGAGCUCGAUCAGUUGUGUUCCUGACGUUGUGGCAUUCAGUUGGCGAGCAGUGUUCCUCUUUUGUGUUGGAUACGUAUUUUAGUUAAU
rnacentral:sRNA from 1 species